CCUACGGGUGGCAGCAGUGAGGAAUAUUGGUCAAUGGACGAGAGUCUGAACCAGCCGAGUAGCGUGAAGGAUGACUGCCCUAUGGGUUGUAAACUUCUUUUAUAUGGGAAUAAAAUGUUCCACGUGUGGCUUUUUGUAUGUACUUUAUGAAUAAGGAUCGGCUAACUCCGUGCCAGCAGCCGCGGUAAUACGGAGGAUCCGAGCGUUAUCCGGAUUUAUUGGGUUUAAAGGGAGCGUAGGUGGAUUGUUAAGUCAGUUGUGAAAGUUUGCGGCUCAACCGUAAAAUUGCAGUUGAAACUGGCAGUCUUGAGUACAGUAGAGGUGGGCGGAAUUCGUGGUGUAGCGGUGAAAUGCUUAGAUAUCACGAAGAACUCCGAUUGCGAAGGCAGCUCACUGGACUGCAACUGACACUGAGGCUCGAAAGUGUGGGUAUCAAACAGGAUUAGAUACCCUUGUAGUC
rnacentral:rRNA from 1 species